ensembl:lncRNA
CUUCUAGUGACAGUCACUUUGUAAAACAUGCAACCAUAUUUUUGCUUCAAGAAACAGAGAGACAUACAGGUAAUUUUGCAUCCUAAUGCAUUACUGCACCGUAAACAUCAGUCAAAAUAUUGCGUGGUAUUGACAUUGGCAAAAAAGAAAAGUAAAUAACCAAAGAAAGGCCUCUCAAAGCUUGGGCCAGCACCCCUCUGAGACCUCCAUUCUACAAAAAUUGUGAGAACUCACAUUUAAAUCAUUUGAGCUGUUUCUGUAAAACUCUGUCUUGGUUUUAUUUGUUGCUGUAGAUAGGUAAAUGUAGCCGAUCACCAAAUAAGUAGCGAAAACAGCAUUUCUUUUCAUUUAAAUCUUUUUUUUUUUUUUUGGAUGAAUUGUGGGAAGCUAAAACAGUGUGUUUCAGCAGAGUACUUUUUUAAAUUUAUUAUAAAGACUUAAAUUGUGAAUUGUGCAAGAGUACAAAUAUGGACAUGGAUAUGAAGUACUCUAUUAAACUGUUACUCAUAAACAACUAGACCACUUAAGUAGGAUACAAGUAAUUUUACUACAUUUUGCAGCAGCUUAGAGGUAGUUUCCAAAACUCUGCAUUAUAUACAUAAAAUGUUUGCAUGUCAAAAAUUUAGAUUUACUGUAAACUGUAAUAUUUAUAGAACGUAGUAUUUCUUUUAUAUGUUUUCUUAAUGUUUGUUAGCAAAAAUAACUUUUUUGUUUAUGAGAGAGGAUGUAAAAAUGCUUUCUUUUUCCCUUUCAAUGCAUACAUACAAGUAACUAAUGUAUAGCAUCAGAUCAUCUUUAGAGGUUCUUACAUUGACUUGCAUUAAUAAAUUCAUUAUAAUAAAUGCAAUAAUAUUAUUAUAAUAUUUGGCCACCUCAGUUUAGGCGUAAAUAAAGCCUAAAUUGCAUUUAGUCAUGCUCACUGUAUUAAAAUGUAUGGACGUUGCUUUUUGCCACUUCAAGCAGGGUUGGUCCCGAAAUGAUUGUAAACAGAUUAAUGUCUCCAGAAUAUGAAUAACACACACAUGCAUAAUAUGAAUAGACAACCA